UGGGGAAUAUUGCACAAUGGGCGAAAGCCUGAUGCAGCGACGCCGCGUGAGGGAUGGAGGCCUUCGGGUUGUAAACCUCUUUCAGUAAGGGUGAAGGCUCUCUUUUGUGGAGGGUUGACAGUACUUGCAGAAGAAGCGCCGGCUAACUACGUGCCAGCAGCCGCGGUAAUACGAAGGGCGCGAGCGUUGUCCGGAAUUAAUGGGCGUAAAGGGCUUGUAGGUGGCGUGUUGCGUCUGCUGUGAAAUUCCAGGGCUUAACUUUGGGAUUGCAGUGGGUACGGGCAUGCUAGAGUGCGGUAGGGGAGAUUGAAAUUCCUGGUGUAGCGGUGAAAUGCGCAGAUAUCAGGAGGAACACCGGUGGCGAAGGCGGGUCUCUAGGCUGUUACGGACGCUGAGGAGCGAAAGCGUGGGGAGCGAACAGG
rnacentral:rRNA from 1 species